AGCCUCAAGAAUUUAUUGGAGGUGACGCCUGCCCAGUGCUAAUUGUUAACGGCCGCAGUACCCUGACUGUGCUAAGGUAGCAAAAUCAUUUGGCUUUUAAUUGGAGUCGGGAAUGAAUGGACUAAUGGGGUAGAGCUGUCUCUAUUAUAUUUUAUUGAACUUUUUAAUUAGGUGAAAAUACCUAUAUAAAGAAAAAAGACGAGAAGACCCUAGGAGCUUUUACUAAUUGUCAAUUUAUCUUGACAAGCGUUUUUGUUGGGGCAACAUAGGAAAAUAGGUAACUUCCUUUAUUUAUAUGCCGACGUAGUAUGGGAAAUUAAGCUACCCUAGGGAUAACAGCGUAAUUCUUUAAGAGCUUGCGACCUCGAUGUUGGACUAGGAAUUUUAUUGGCUAGCCGCCAAUAAAACUGGUUCUGUUCGAACUAAUUUUCCU
rnacentral:rRNA from 1 species